rnacentral:rRNA from 1 species
UACAGAGACCUCAAACAUUGUCCGGAUUCAUUGGGCGUAAAGCGUCCGCAGGUGGCUUAGCAAGUUAAGGGUUAAAUCUUCUGACCUAAUCAGAAAACUGCCUUUAAUACUGCUAAGCUCGAGGUUGGGAGAGGCAUAUGGAACUGCCGGUGUAGUAGUAAAAUGCGUUGAUAUCGGCAGGAACACCAAAGGCGAAGGCAAUAUGCUGGAACAACUCUGACACUCAGGGACGAAAGCGUGGGGAGCGAAUGGG